AGGCAGCAGUUAGGAAUAUUGGACAAUGGGGGGAACCCUGAUCCAGCCAUGCCGCGUGUGUGAAGAAGGCCUUUUGGUUGUAAAGCACUUUAAGCGAGGAGGAGGCUCCUGUAGAUAAUACCUACAGUGAGUGGACGUUACUCGCAGAAUAAGCACCGGCUAACUCUGUGCCAGCAGCCGCGGUAAUACAGAGGGUGCGAGCGUUAAUCGGAUUUACUGGGCGUAAAGCGUGCGUAGGCGGCUGAUUAAGUCGGAUGUGAAAUCCCUGAGCUUAACUUAGGAAUUGCAUUCGAUACUGGUCAGCUAGAGUAUGGGAGAGGAUGGUAGAAUUCCAGGUGUAGCGGUGAAAUGCGUAGAGAUCUGGAGGAAUACCGAUGGCGAAGGCAGCCAUCUGGCCUAAUACUGACGCUGAGGUACGAAAGCGUGGGGAGCAAACAGGAUUAGAUACCCCAGUAGUCC
rnacentral:rRNA from 1 species